CGGGCGACAAGGAUGCAAGGAAGGUGGACCGGCUCUCGGGCCGGUUGUUAAGCCUUGUGCUCGCAUAGCUCGACGGCGACCGUGGCUCGAAGAGGCGACGCGUGCCUAGCUGGCGACUCGAACGAUCGGUCUGGCAUGUCGACUGUGGCGGACGGCACGCCUGUGCGCUCGAACUGCUGCCGGUCGACCGUGCGAUGUUCGCACACUACGCGUCGAAGAUGCUGACGACCAUACGGCUCCAUCCGACCCGUCUUGAAACACGGACCAAGGAGUCUAACAUGUGCGCGAGUCUCCGGGUGAUCGAAACCCGUGGGCGCAAUGAAAGUAAAGAUCGUCCUAGACGAUUGAGGUGAGAAGCAGGCACCUACACGGUGCCUGCCGCAUCAUCGACCGACCUAUUCUGCUCUCAGAGAGGUUUGAGUAAGAGCGUAUCUGUUGGGACCCGAAAGAUGGUGAACUAUGCCUGAAUAGGGUGAAGCCAGCGGAAACACUGGUGGAAGCUCGUAGCGAUUCUGACGUGCAAAUCGAUCGUCGAAUUUGGGUAUAGCGGCGAAAGACUAAUCGAACCAUCUAGUAGCUGGUUCCCUCCGAAGUUUCCCUCAGGAUAGCUGGAGUUCAUACAUGCAGU
rnacentral:rRNA from 1 species